UACGAAGGGGGCUAGCGUUGCUCGGAAUUACUGGGUGUAAAGCGCGUGUAGGCGGCAGACCAAGUCGGCGGUGAAAGCGCCCGGCUCAACUGGGCGAGGUCCGUGGAAACUGGUCAGCUGGAGGACGGUAGAGGCGAGUGGAAUUCCCGGUGUAGUGGUGAAAUGCGUAGAGAUCGGGAGGAACACCUGUGGCGAAGGCGGCUCGCUGGGCCGGUCCUGACGCUGAGACGCGAAGGCGUGGGGAGCGAACGGG
rnacentral:rRNA from 1 species